AGUGAACGCUGGCGGUAGGCCUAACACAUGCGAGUCGAACGGCAGCACAGUAAGAGCUUGCUCUUACGGGUGGCGAGUGGCGGACGGGUGAGGAAUACAUCGGAAUCUACUUUUUCGUGGGGGAUAACGUAGGGAAACUUACGCUAAUACCGCAUACGACCUACGGGUGAAAGCAGGGGAUCUUCGGACCUUGCGCGAUUGAAUGAGCCGAUGUCGGAUUAGCUAGUUGGCGGGGUAAAGACCCACCAAGGCGACGAUCCGUAGCUGGUCUGAGAGGAUGAUCAGCCACACUGGAACUGAGACACGGUCCAGACUCCUACGGGAGGCAGCAGUGGGGAAUAUUGGACAAUGGGCGCAAGCCUGAUCCAGCCAUACCGCGUGGGUGAAGAAGGCCUUCGGGUUGUAAAGCCCUUUUGUUGGGAAAGAAAAGCAGCAGGUUAAUACCCCGCUGUUCUGACGGUACCCAAAGAAUAAGCACCGGCUAACUUCGUG
rnacentral:rRNA from 1 species